GGCCUCGUAGCUCAGCGCGUACAAAGCGUGGGCGGCGUCCAUGCGUGGGUUCGAAUCCCACUGAGGCUA
rnacentral:tRNA from 1 species